CCGACAAUUAAAAUUGCCAACUUGUGUCGAAAAAUGCGAAAUAAGCCAGAUAUUUAAAUUUGAAAUCGAAAAUGUCUGUACAUUUGAAUUCGCCAGCAUGUUGCAUUUCAUGAAUUUUGUAUUCAAUGUAUAAUUGUUCUUGUCUAUUUUGUGUUAUUGUAACAUAUACAUAUAACAUUUUAUCAAUAUAUUACAAUUCAACACAUACAAAAAUCGUUCAGUAUCACUUUAACACACUAUUUUAAUAAUCAUAGAAAUGCCGAUUAAGAAAUUGUUCAGUAUCAUUUCAAUCAAUGGGUCAAAUGUGAAAACAAUGACCUAGCCAAUUGUUUACUAACCUUAAUUCACUUUAAAGGGAUCUUUUGACGGUUUGGUAAAUUGACAAAAUUGAGAAAAGUUGUUUCAGAUUCGCAAAUUUUCGGUUUAGUUAUGAUAUUUGUGAGGAAACAGUAUUACUGAACAUUUGCCAUGGUCUAAUAUAGCCAUUAUAUGCAUCUUUUGACGAUUUAAAAACCUAAAAAUUAUAAAGCGUUGCAACGAGAAGCGAUUGAAUAAUUUGGAAAGUUCUAGUGAUGUCGUUUAAAUUUGUGAAACUACGAUGAUAUAAGGUAUCAAAUACGCAUCUUAUGUAUCCUUGGCAGGAUAGCUCAGUUGGCUAAUGCGUUUUUUACUUCGAGUCCUGCUGCGGGCUACUUUUGUUUUCCUUUUUAACCAGGUUUUCCGAAGGAAAAAACUGGUUAUUAGAUUGGCGAAUGCGGGCGGGCUGGCUGGCUGGCUGGCUGGCAGGCGGGCUGGCGGGCUGGCGGAAUAAGCUUGUCCGGGCCAUAACUAUGUCGUUCAUUGUCAGAUUUUAAAAUCAUUUGGCACAUUUGUUCACCAUCAUUGGACGGUGUGUCGCGCGAAAUAAUUACGUCGAUAUCUCCAAGGUCAAGGUCACACUUUGAGUUCAAAGGUCAAAAAUGGCCAUAAAUGAGCUUGUCCUGGCCAUAACUGUCAUUCAUUGUGAGAUUUUAAAAUCAUUUGGCACAUUUGUUCACCAUCAUGGGACGGUGUGUCCCACGAAAGAAUCACGUCAAUAUCUCCAAUGUCAAGGUCGCCACGACUAAAAAUAGAUUUAAAAAAAAAAAAAAUACAAAGGGGGUUAAUUUUUUUUGGUCAUUUCAAAAGUU